AUUAACAUGGCUGAAGUGAUAGGUGGUAAAUUGUAAAUUUACUUAUGAAUAAAAUUCUGUUAAUA
rnacentral:tRNA from 1 species